AGAGGAGAGGGCAGGAAGAGGAGAAUCGAGCUAAUUGGGGCAGAGAGAUGGAGCAGACUCAGAGCUACAGGGGAGAUCUUCCAAAAUGUAGGCCGAAAGAGAAAGUGGCCCAUAAAAGGGCAGUCCCGAAGCGUCUUGGGCAGUAAGACCAAUGGGCUUCCCAGAAGGUAACCAGGCAACCGAGCUGAGGGAAGAGUGAGAGAUGUUGAGCCUGGAGUAAAGACUAAAGAAGGAAACCGAAACAAAACUGGGGCUGAUAAUAAGGUUUAGAAGGAAAGACGGUGCUGAGCAGGGGACACAUGUGCCUGAGAGAUGGCAGGGCCUGCCAGAGAAAGGAAUCAUUAACCACCAUAAAGUUCAGAGAGGGAAG
rnacentral:sRNA from 1 species